rfam:Vigna radiata var. radiata cultivar VC1973A chromosome 11, whole genome shotgun sequence
GCAAAAGCUUUUCUCAAAGCUACAAAUAUCAACUAGGAGGAAAAUG